rnacentral:rRNA from 1 species
GCAAGUCCCGGUCCGGCGGCGGGGGUAAAACGGAGGGUGCAAGGGGUAUCCGGAUUAACUGGGUUUAAAGGGUGCGUAGGCUGGCAGGUAAGGCAGUGGUGAAAUCUCCGGGCUUAACCCGGAAACUGCCGUUGAUACUAUCUGGCUUGAAUAUCGUGGAGGUAAGCGGAAUAUGUCAUGUAGCGGUGAAAUGCUUAGAUAUGACAUAGAACACCCAUUGCGAAGGCAGCUUACUACACGAUCAUUGACGCUGAGGCACGAAAGCGUGGGGAGCAAACAGGAUUAGAUACCCCUGUAGUC